rnacentral:rRNA from 1 species
ACUCCUGCGGGAGGCAGCAGUGGGGAAUAUUGGACAAUGGGCGCAAGCCUGAUCCAGCCAUGCCGCGUGAGUGAUGAAGGCCCUAGGGUUGUAAAGCUCUUUCACCGGUGAAGAUAAUGACGGUAACCGGAGAAGAAGCCCCGGCUAACUUCGUGCCAGCAGCCGCGGUAAUACGAAGGGGGCUAGCGUUGUUCGGAUUUACUGGGCGUAAAGCGCACGUAGGCGGACUAUUAAGUCAGGGGUGAAAUCCCGGGGCUCAACCCCGGAACUGCCUUUGAUACUGGUAGUCUUGAGUUCGAGAGAGGUGAGUGGAAUUCCGAGUGUAGAGGUGAAAUUCGUAGAUAUUCGGAGGAACACCAGUGGCGAAGGCGGCUCACUGGCUCGAUACUGACGCUGAGGUGCGAAAGCGUGGGGAGCAAACAGGAUUAGAAACCCCAGUAGUCCCAUGAU